rnacentral:rRNA from 1 species
UACGGAGGGGGCUAGCGUUGUUCGGAAUUACUGGGCGUAAAGCGCGCGUAGGCGGCUUUGUAAGUUAGAGGUGAAAGCCCAGGGCUUAACCCUGGAAUUGCCUUUAAGACUGCAUCGCUAGAAUCGUGGAGAGGUGAGUGGAAUUCCGAGUGUAGAGGUGAAAUUCGUAGAUAUUCGGAAGAACACCAGUGGCGAAGGCGACUCACUGGACAAGUAUUGACGCUGAGGUGCGAAAGCGUGGGGAGCAAACAGG